AACGAACGCUGGCGGCAUGCCUAACACAUGCAAGUCGAACGAGACCUUCGGGUCUAGUGGCGCACGGGUGCGUAACGCGUGGGAACCUGCCCUUAGGUUCGGAAUAACUCCCCGAAAGGGGUGCUAAUACCGGAUAAUGUCUUCGGAGGAAAGAUUUAUCGCCUUUGGAUGGGCCCGCGUUGGAUUAGCUAGUUGGUAGGGUAAAAGCCUACCAAGGCGACGAUCCAUAGCUGGUCUGAGAGGAUGAUCAGCCACACUGGGACUGAGACACGGCCCAGACUCCUACGGGAGGCAGCAGUGGGGAAUAUUGGACAAUGGGCGAAAGCCUGACGCAGCAAUGCCGCGUGAAUGAUGAAGGCCUUAGGGUUGUAAAGCUCUUUUACCCGGGAUGAUAAUGACAGUACCGGGAGAAUAAGCCCCGGCUAACUCCGUG
rnacentral:rRNA from 1 species